GACGAACGCUGGCGGCGUGCUUAACACAUGCAAGUCGAACGGAAAGGCCCUGCUUUUGUGGGGUGCUCGAGUGGCGAACGGGUGAGUAACACGUGAGUAACCUGCCCUUGACUUUGGGAUAACUUCAGGAAACGGGGGCUAAUACCGGAUAGGAGCUCCUGCUGCAUUGUGGGGGUUGGAAAUUUUCGGCGGUUGGGGAUGGACUCGCGGCUUAUCAGCUUGUUGGUGGGGUAGUGGCUUACCAAGGCUUUGACGGGUAGCCGGCCUGAGAGGGUGACCGGCCACAUUGGGACUGAGAUACGGACCAGACUCCUACGGGAGGCAGCAGUGGGGAAUAUUGCACAAUGGGCGGAAGCGUGAUGAAGAAACGCCGCGUGCGGGAUGACGGCCUUCGGGUUGUAAACCGCUUUCGCCUGUGACGAAGCGUGAGUGACGGUAAUGGGUAAAGAAGCACCGGCUAACUACGUG
rnacentral:rRNA from 1 species